AUUGUUUGGUCGUGUAACUUGGCUUUUGCCAGCGCUUCGCUCCUCUUCAGCUCCACCGUCAUAUUCAAACAUGGUCACCUCCGUCUCCAGCUCCUCCUCCAGCAUUAUACUGAACAUCUCUGAAGUUGUUCUCAUGUAGCGCUCCUCCUCAGCUCCACCCUCUCCUCAAGUCACCUGUGUCUCCAGCGUCUCUUUGAUUCAUUCCCUCAGCGGACAGGUGGGAUCUAAAAAAGGAACAGGAGGUGAAAUCUAAAGAAGAGCCGUGAACAACAGAACAGAGGAGACAGGAAGCAGCACAGAGGACACAGACAGGAUGAGGCUGAAUGAACAGACCGACAACGAGAGAGAAGAAGAAAAGAUGAGAGACAAGUGUCAAUGCUGAGACCUCAAAGCAAACAGAGGAGUCCAUUUAAAGAGGAGACGGACGAGUUUGGAGACAACAAGAGGUCGGCACCAUAUUUAGAAUCAGCUGCAAAAACAGAGUUUGCAAAUCAAA